UACAGAGGGUGCAAGCGUUAAUCGGAAUUACUGGGCGUAAAGCGUGCGUAGUCGGUUAUUUAAGUCGGGCGUGAAAGCCCCGGGCUCAACCUGGGAAUUGCGUUCGAUACUGGAUAGCUAGAGUUCGGCAGAGGGAAGCGGAAUUUCGGGUGUAGCGGUGAAAUGCGUAGAUAUCCGAAGGAACAUCAGUGGCGAAAGCGGCUCCUGGACCGAACUGACGAUCAGGCACGAAAGC
rnacentral:rRNA from 1 species